AGCAGCGUGGCUUAGUGGAAAGAGCACGGGCUUGGGAUUCAGAGGACAUGGGUUCUAAUCCCAACUCUGCCA
rfam:Ornithorhynchus anatinus chromosome 6, whole genome shotgun sequence.